AGCGAACGCUGGCGGUAGGCCUAACACAUGCCAGUCGAACGGCAGCACAGUAAGAGCUUGCUCUUACGGGUGGCGAGUGGCGGACGGGUGAGGAAUACAUCGGAAUCUACUUUUUCGUGGGGGAUAACGUAGGGAAACUUACGCUAAUACCGCAUACGACCUACGGGUGAAAGCAGGGGAUCUUCGGACCUUGCGCGAUUGAAUGAGCCGAUGUCGGAUUAGCUAGUUGGCGGGGUAAAGGCCCACCAAGGCGACGAUCCGUAGCUGGUCUGAGAGGAUGAUCAGCCACACUGGAACUGAGACACGGUCCAGACUCCUACGCGAGGCAGCAGUGGGGUAUAUUAGACAAUGGGCGCAAGCCUGAUCCAGCCAUACCGCGUAGGUGAAGAAGGCCUUCGGGUUGUAAAGCCCUUUUGUUGGGAAAGAAAAGCAGCAGGUUAAUACCCCGCUGUUCUGACGGUACCCAGAGAAUAAGCACCGGCUAACUUCGUG
rnacentral:rRNA from 1 species